UAAGUACUGUGCUAGGAUAUAAUAGUGAACAGACAAGUAAAGUCAGUGAUUACUGGGUGAUGGAUGGGUGCUGUGGAAGAAGUUCAUGCACAGGGUGGAAACCACAGACGAUUCUACUUCCAGUUAGAGACGGGAGGAGAGAACGGGAGCUAGAAGGUGUGAGUAAGGCUGGAGAUGUGGGUACAGACUGAUCAGAUUUCCUGGUAGCAAUAAGAGCAUAUAACAUCAUAAAACAGGGGAUUUCACUGCCCUGAAUCACUGCCAAACAGGGAAACUAAGGCUGAGAGGUGAUUUGAUCAAGGUCAUACAGCAAGUGGUGGAAGGACGACUAGAAUCCAGGAUUUGCAUAUCAGAGAGCAAAACCGAGAAAAGUCAGAGGGUAUACUCUGCCUCCAGCAUGGGUGCUCACUCAUCUCAUGUUUAGAGCCUGGCAUGGAUUCUGGUACAUGGAAGGUAAGGCAGUUCCUCUCUGAUGCCCUGCUCUCAGCAUUUGUAUUCUCUGGCAGCUCUUCAGAUGAGGAAGCUGAGACACAAUCACGGAAGAGCAAGAUUUAAAAGCCGGCAGUCUGACUCCUGAUCUCUCACUCAUCCACUACUGUAGACAGCCUUCUCUGUGUUUCAUUAGCACAUAACAAGAAUUCAUGCUCUCGGAGUACAAAGCAGGGUUUGUAAUAUCAAUAAAAGAGACACUUUCAUAGUGUUUUAGCUGAGUCUUGAGGAGAAAAGUAGAGUUUUAGUGAAGGAAGAAAGAAAGGCACUACAUGCUGAUUGUAUGUUUGAAGGCGCUGCUGUUAAGAGGUGAAGAUGCUGUUGUGGAAGAUGAAUCUGGGAUGGACUAAGGAUGGAACACUAACAUUUAAAGAAUGGAGGAAGAAAAGCAGUUGUGGAGAGUGAGAAAGACUAGAGAUAAAGCAGAAAAAAUCCUAGAGGGUUUAGUAUCAUGACCAGGAACUAGGCAUUUCAAAAAGGAAGAAACGAUCAACAGUGAUGAAUGAGAAGAGCUGGAAGGAAUGUAGAUGGAGAAAAGCCUAGAGAUUUGUUACCUAGGACACUAGUAAUGACCUCAGAGAAUGCAGAAUGGUAGAGGUGGAAGCAAAACUCAGAGGAUUAUUGAAAAAAAUGAGAAAAGUAGAAAAGUGGAAGCAGGAAGUGCAGACAUUUCCUAUACCAAUGUAGACAUAUUUGUGUUUAUAUACAUACACAUAUUCAUGUGUAUUCCUAGUUUCAAUAAUGCACAAUGUUGAGGUUAACCUUAAAAAAAGAUUAAUUUAGCAAAAGAUAGAAAAGCAGAUCUGAAAAAAGAAUGUAUUCCUUGCCAUUAUAGACUAUGCUUAAUAAGUAAUACUUAGUUUAGUAGAUUGUAGCUUGUGACAACAUGAGAAGUGCAUCCAGUAGAUUCAUAGUAGUUCUUACUGGGGUACCUGCUUAUAUUGUUGCUAGCAAACUAUUUGGGCAUGUUAUUUUUUGUAUCUGGACUAGUUCCUUAUCUGCCAAGAACUAAAUGAUUAAGUCCCAUCUAACAUUUUAGGAUGCUCUGAUCUCCUUUUGACUUAUAGAAAUCACCAAAGUUAGACAGCUAAUGACCACUCUUUUUAAUAUUUCCUCCUUCAUGACAUGGGAAAUGAUUUUUAACGCCACUUUAGCCCAAUAAUUCAGACAUCUCACAUUGUAUAUGCACGUGUGUGUUCAUUUCAGUGCUAUUCACAACAGCAAAAACACAGAAAAAACUUAGGUGCCCCUCAGUGGUGGACUGGAUAAAGAAAAUGUGGCACCUGUACACCAUGGCAUACUAUGCAGCCAUAAAAAAGAAUGAAAUCAUGCCCUUUGCAGCAACAUGGAUGCAGCUGGAAGCCAUUAUCCUAAGUGAACUAACUCAGAAAAUCAAAUACUGCAUAUUCUCACUUUUAAGUGGGAGAUAAACAUUGGGUACUCAUGGAUAUAAAGUUAAAAACAAUAGACACUGGGUUCUAGUAGAGGGUGGAGGGUGGGAGACCAGUAACGGUCGAAAAACUACCUGUUGGGUAUUAUGCUUAUUACUUGGGUGACAGGAUCAUCUAUAUACCCCAAACCUCAGCAUCACACAAUAUACUCAUGUAAUAAACCUGCACUUGUACCCCCCCGAAUCUAAAAGUCAAAAUUAUGUUUUAAAAAAGAAAAUAUCUCAGAGUCUUGUCUUCUAGAUUUUCUUCAUUUCAACAGUUUGCCUUCUAUUCUUUUUCAGUUGCUUAGAUUUAAACUUCCUCAGAGUCUCAGUGAAAAGGACGAGUUUAUUCAGCUGGAAGAAUUGAACCUUGAAAGUAUACCCUUUAACCUUAAGUUUUAAAACACUGGGUUACAAAUAAGAAUAUAAAGUUUUAUUCAUCUCUAAACAUACUAGCAAAGCAACUGAUCUUUUAAACAGAAAAUUAUCAAUCACUAAGGACGCUACCAAAAAUAGAAAUAUUUAAACAUUGUAAUCAGACACCUCUAGUGAUUUGUGAAUAUCUGGAAGUCCUACUGAACCAUCAGCUAUUUGACAUUAUGUAGAGUUAGCUUGAGUCUAGGUGACUUGUUCCUUGGAAAGGCUUAGUUAGCACGGACCUGAAGUACUUCUAGUAUGAAUUCUAUCCUAAUGUCUUUAAGAGCAUUGGGUGGAAAAGAGAUGUACCAACACACACAAUGUUCUGCACAUGGAGUCAUUAAUGAAUAAAUUGGCUGAAGCACCUAGAAAGGUUUCAAAAUGCCCAAUAUCAUCUUACUCAAGGAAAUUUGUUUCCUCGAUGGAAAGCAUGCCAAAAACAAAAAACAAAAACAAACAAACAAAAAAACUAGUAGAACAAACAAGUGGAGAAAAUAGAAAAGCGGAGAAUAGCAGAAACCUUGAGUCCCUUUAUGUUCCUUAAAAAGUUUUUGAUUAUUUUUGUUUUAAUCCAUUCAGCAAGUAUUUAUGGAGUGCCAUCUGUAUGCUAUGAUAAGCUCUAGGGUUACAUUAAUAGAUAAAACAGCCCCCUACCCCUAUCAAAAAAAAAUCCCUACUCUCAUUAGCUUCUUUUAAAUUUAUACCAUUGUUUAAUGGGAAUGAGCCCAGUUGAAUUUUUUCAGUAACAUAUUUUAAAAUAAGCUUUAUUUUCAAAAACAAUUUUAGAUUUACAAAAAAAUUGAAAAGAUAGUUCAGAGAGUUCUCAUCCACUCCACAUAGUUUUCCCUAUUGUUAUCUUUCAUUAGGAUAUAUUUGCCACAAUUAAUGUGUCAAUAUUGAUACAUUAUUUUUAACUAACACCUAUAGUUUAUUUAUAUUUUUUAUAUUUUUCAUUUGUGUCUUUUUUCUGUUCCAGGCUACCAGCCAAUCCAGAAUACCACAUUACAUUUAGUAAUCAGGUUUCUAUCACUUCUUAGGCACUUUAUACAAGUCAUUUCAUUUAGUCCUAACGAGAACCCUGUAAG
rnacentral:lncRNA from 10 species